AGGGCCGGUAACUCAGUGGUAGAGUGUAGGACUGCAGUUCACCAUAACGUUCAAUUCCCGAAGUCACCGGUUCGACUCCGGUUCGGCCCU
rnacentral:tRNA from 1 species